rnacentral:tRNA from 1 species
GGGGGGCUGGCGCAACGGUAGCGCGUUCGACUCCAGUGUGGAAUCAUCGAAAGGUUAUCUGUUCAAAUCAGGUGUCCCUCA